GAUGAACGCUGACAGAAUGCUUAACACAUGCAAGUCAACUUGAAUUUGGGUUUUUAACUUAGGUAUGGGUGGCGGACGGGUGAGUAACGCGUAAAGAACUUGCCUCACAGCUAGGGACAACAUUUGGAAACGAAUGCUAAUACCUAAUAUUAUGAUAAUAGGGCAUCCUAUAAUUAUGAAAGCUAUCAGCGCUGUGAGAGAUCUUUGCGUCCCCUUAGCUAGUUGGAGAGGUAACGGCUCACCAAGGCGAUGAUGGGUAGCCGGCCUGAGAGGGUGAUCGGCCCCAAGGGGACUGAGACACGGCCCUUACUCCUACGGGAGGCAGCAGUGGGGAAUAUUGGACAAUGGACCGAGAGUCUGAUCCAGCAAUUCUGUGUGCACGAUGAAGUUUUUCGGAAUGUAAAGUGCUUUCAGUUGGGAAGAAACAAAUGACGGUACCAACAGAAGAAGUGACGGCUAAAUACGUG
rnacentral:rRNA from 1 species